CCCAAAUCCCUAACCCCAUUAGCACCACUCAAUCCCCAACACCUAUCUCGCAUAAAUCAUUUUCCCCACCACCAAAUUCUCAAACCCUCUUCUACCCAAAUUAUCUUACCCAUCAGACCCACCACCCAAACCUCCGCCCCUCUCCCACAAAUCAUCUUCCACGUCAGUUUUUCGCUCAUGGAAGAUUCAUCUUGUUCAAUCUUCCUCAGUUAAAUUCUCUAUUGUUUCUAUAUUUUCUUAUGAUUAAUUAUAGCUUGAUCUACUAUAAUUUUAGUUAUUUUUUUUUAACUAAUUACCACUAUUGAAUCUACUUCUCUUUCAAUGAUUUUAAGUUUAGGGAUAUGGUAAUAUGGGAAAGAAAAAAAUAUGUAAUACUUAAAAAAUUGAAAAGUUGAGUUGGAAAAAAAAGUUGCAAAAAAUUAUAAGUGCAGUGAUCUACAAGUCUCACGAACCAUAGGAUGUCCUAGAAGUUGUAGGAAGGAAGUCGUAAACCUAGAGUGUUGAGUUUUUGUAAGUUCAAGUUUCUGAAGUCUGACCCACGUCUUGAUCGAGCGAUCCAUAGAAAUUUAAACAAGACGUAAAUGGCACUUGUAGGAUGGAUUCAAAGAUUUGAUUUAGGAUCUCAGGCCUACAGAAGAUAACAACAGGUCAUAAGAGGUUUAAUGGAUCAUAAAAAAGGUCUCGUAGAGAGGUUUCAGACUUAGUGUAAUUUUAGACUCAAAGUUGAGGACUACGAAUGGGAUCCACGAAUGUAGCAAGGUCGACGACUCAUAAAAUUGUUUCGUAGAGAGUUGUUCGCACUUUGGGUUUCUAAAGUUGGUUUUACAAAUAACCAGUAUGAGUGGUAGAAACUUCUACAGACCAUAGGUCCGACUUUUAGGACUAUACGAGAUCUAUUUACUAAGGGUAUGUGGGUCUUUUCCUAUGCAUUUAAUUGCUAGAAUAUAUCGUUUUGACCCUAAUUCUAUGAUCUGCAACUAACUCUCUAUUCUUAAAUUAACCUGAACUCUCUCGUUCUCUUGGAUUCCCAAAAUUCCAUCCAAGUUCAUCCCUUCUAAAUUCUCUCAAGCUUCAAGAAAGAAAGCUAGGGUUCCAAGCUUCAAGGCUUCUUUUUCCUCCAUUGCUUUUGGUUUCGAUCAACAAAUAUGUGGGAAUUCAUUAAUGGAUGGGACUCAAAAGAUCUCCAUGUUUCAAAUUCAAUUUCUUCAAAAUUGAUUAGGGUUCCUUUCCUCUCACUCAUGGAUAGAUAUGGAUUGCUACAUACUGUUGUGAAUUGGUGAGUCAUCAUAUUCUAAAGGCAAGACCAUGAAGACUUUACUUUUGAUGUCAUUAUUUUUGAGACUUUGUAUGUGGUGUAUGUGUUACGUCACAACCACUCUUGAUGUUUAAGAUUGGUUGCCAAACCUAAUAUUUUUUGCACUUAUGUUCCUUUCAUAAUAUGAGACUACUUUACCUAUUCUAUUCUAUCUA